UACGGAGGGUGCAAGCGUUAAUCGGAAUUACUGGGCGUAAAGCGCACGCAGGUGGCUAAGAAAGUCGAUUGUGAAAGCCCUGGGCUUAACCUGGGAAUUGCAGUCGAAACUACUUGGCUAGAGUAUGGGAGAGGGCAGUGGAAUUCCCGGUGUAGCGGUGAAAUGCGUAGAUAUCGGGAGGAACAUCAGUGGCGAAGGCGGCUGCCUGGCCCAAUACUGACACUCAGGUCGCGACAGCGGUGGGGAGCAAACAGGG
rnacentral:rRNA from 1 species